UGGGGAAUAUUGCACAAUGGAGGUAACUCUGAUGCAGCGACGCCGCGUGAACGAAGAAGGCUUUCGAGUCGUAAAGUUCUUUUAUAUGGGAAGAUAAUGACGGUACCAUAAGAAAAAGCCCCGGCUAACUACGUGCCAGCAGCCGCGGUAAUACGUAGGGGGCUAGCGUUGUCCGGAAUCACUGGGCGUAAAGGGUUCGCAGGCGGAAAUGCAAGUCAGGUGUAAAAGGCAGUAGCUUAACUACUGUAAGCAUUUGAAACUGCAUAUCUUGAGAAGAGUAGAGGUAAGUGGAAUUUUUAGUGUAGCGGUGAAAUGCGUAGAUAUUAAAAAGAAUACCGGUGGCGAAGGCGACUUACUGGGCUCAUUCUGACGCUGAGGAACGAAAGCGUGGGUAGCAAACAGG
rnacentral:rRNA from 1 species